rnacentral:rRNA from 1 species
AUUGAACGCUGGCGGCAGGCCUAACACAUGCAAGUCGAACGAGUGGCGGACGGGUGAGUAAUGUCUGGGAAACUGCCCGAUGGAGGGGGAUAACUACUGGAAACGGUAGCUAAUACCGCAUACCAUCGGAUGUGCCCAGAUGGGAUUCGCUAGUAGGUGGGGUAACGGCUCACCUAGGCCACGAUCCCUAGCUGGUCUGAGAGGAUGACCAGCCACACUGGAACUGGGGGACGGUCCAGACGCCUACGGGCGGCAGCAGUGGGGAAUAUUGCGCAAUGGGCGCAAGCCUGAUGCAGCCAUGCCGCGUGGAUGAAGAAGGCCUUCGGGUUGUAAAGUACUUUCAGCGGGGAGGCGUUACCCGCAGAAGAAGCACCGGCUAACUCCGUGCCAGCCGCCGCGGUAAUUC